rnacentral:tRNA from 1 species
AGUGUGGCUUAGUAGUAGUGUGCAUGCUUUAGCAUGCAUGAGGUCCUGGGUUCAAUUCCCAGUACU